rnacentral:rRNA from 1 species
GACGAACGCUGGCGGCGUGCUUAACACAUGCAAGUCGAACGGAAAGGCCUGCUUUCCCUUGUGGAUUGCGGGUACUCGAGUGGCGAACGGGUGAGUAACACGUGAGUGAUCUGCCCCCAACUUGGGUAUAAGCCUGGGAAACUGGGUCUAAUUCCCGAUAGGACUGCAGGGUGGUGCCUGUGGUGGAAAACGAUUUUCUAGUGGUUGGGGAUGAGCUCGCGGCCUAUCAGCUUGUUGGUGGGGUAAUGGCCUACCAAGGCGGCGACGGGUAGCCGGCCUGAGGUGGAGGACGGGCACAGUGGGACUGAGAUGCGGCCCAGACUCCGACGGGAGGCAGCAGUGGGGAAUAGUGGACGAGGGGCGGAAGCCUGAAGCAGCGACGCCGCGUGGGGGAUGACGGCCUUCGGGUGGUAAACUCCUUUCGACCGCGAGGAAGCCACCUGGUUGGAAGGGUGGUGACGGUAGUGGUAGAAGAAGCACCGGCUAACUACGUG